AACGAACGCUGGCGGCAGGCUUAACACAUGCAAGUCGAGCGCCCCGCAAGGGGAGCGGCAGACGGGUGAGUAACGCGUGGGAAUCUACCCAUCUCUACGGAAUAACGCAUGGAAACGUGUGCUAAUACCGUAUACGUCCUUCGGGAGAAAGAUUUAUCGGGGAUGGAUGAGCCCGCGUUGGAUUAGCUAGUUGGUGGGGUAAAGGCCUGCCAAGGCGACGAUCCAUCGCUGGUCUGAGAGGAUGAUCAGCCACACUGGGACUGAGACACGGCCCAGACUCCUACGGGAGGCAGCAGUGGGGAAUAUUGGACGAUGGGCGCAAGCCUGAUCCAGCCAUGCCGCGUGAGUGAUGAAGGCCCUAGGGUUGUAAAGCUCUUUCACCGGUGAAGAUAAUGACGGUAACCGGAGAAGAAGCCCCGGCUAACUUCGUGCCAGCCGCCGCAGUAACAC
rnacentral:rRNA from 1 species